rnacentral:rRNA from 1 species
UACGAAGGGGGGCUAGCGUUGCUCGGAAUCACUGGGCGUAAAGGGUGCGUAGGCGGGUUUUUAAGUCAGGGGGUGAAAUCCCAGAGCUCAACUCUGGAACUGCCUUUGAUACUGGGUAUCUUGAGUAUGGAAGAGGUAAGUGGAAUUGCGAGUGUAGAGGUGAAAUUCGUAGAUAUUCGCAGGAACACCAGUGGCGAAGGCGGCUUACUGGUCCAUAACUGACGCUGAGGUGCGAAAGCGUGGGGGAGCAAACAGG